GUUUGGAAGACAUUCAUUCCAGGCCUCAUGGAUGACUUUGACGGGUUCAAGACUUCAGUGGAGGAAGUAACUGCAGAUGUGGUAAAAAUAGCAAAAGAAUUAGAACUAGAAGUAGAGCCUGAAGAUGUGACUGAAUUGCUUCAAUCUCAUGAUAAAACUGUAAUGGAUGAGGAGUUGCUUCCUAUGGAUGAGCAAAGGAAGUGGUUUCUUGAGAUGGAAUCUACUCCUGGUGAGGAUGAUGUAAAGAUUGUCGAAAUGACAACAAAGGAUUUAGAAUACUACAUAAGCUUAGUUGAUAAAGCAGCAGCGGGGUUUGAGAGGAUUGACUCCAAUUUUGAAAGAAGUUCCACUGUGGGUAAAAUGCUAUCAAACAGUAUCUCGUGCUACAGAGAAAUUGUUCGUGAAAGGAAGAGUCCAUCAAUGCGGCAGAUUUCAUUAUUGUCUUAUUUUAAGAAAUUGCCACAGUCCCCCCAACCUUCAGCAACCACCACCCUGAUCACUCAGCAACCAUCAACAUCACGGCAUGACCCUCCAUCAGCAAAAAAAUUACGGAUUGCUGAAAGCUCAGAUGAUGGUUAGCAUUUUUUAGCAAUAAAGUAUUUUUAAAUUAAGAUAUGUACAUUGUUUCUUUAGAUAUAAUGCUAUUGCACACUUAGUAGACUAUAGUGUAAACAUAAUUUUUAUAUGCACUGGGAAGCCACACAGUUCAUUUGACUCACAAUAUUUACUUUGUUGUAGUCUGGAACUGAACCCGCAAUAUCUCUGGGGUAUGCCUGUAUUUAUAUAGUGGUUACAGUAUUCACAAAGUUUUUUACGUCCUUUUGUGAAAAUGAACUUUCUUUUUAUUUUUAACUUAAUUCUAUUGCCUGUAUUUAUUUAUUUUUUAAUUUUUAAAACUUUUGUACAGAUGUUGUCAUGUGAUUGUGAGCUUAUGGUUCUUUUGGUGAUCUGGUCUCAUGCUGUUUUUCAUAUCCUAGGUCCCUAGCUUUCUGUUUUUGGGUUACAUGUCAUAAUUUUUUAUCUCCUUGGAUCUGUGGGAAUAUAUUUUAUGGUGAAGGAUCAUGCUUUGGGUGUGAUUUGUUCAAGUCUGUCUUCUAAUUUGGUAUUCUACUAGAGAAUGUAUUUUUCAAGAAAGAAGAGCUAUGGUUUUGUGAGAAAUUUUAAGUCCUUUGUUAGAAAGCCUAAAAUCAUUUGCAAUUUUAUCUCUGGCAAGAGGCUUUGAAUAGUUUUCUUUCUUUUUCUUUUUUUUUUUUUAAAUUAAGUCUCCAUAUUGGCAAGGCUGAACUCUGUACAUUAUAAAUUUGUUUAAAGAUACUACUUGAAUCAUUCAGAAUAAAGUGUAUUUAAAAUUAAUCACAGUAAUUGGGAUAGAAUUUAUUUAAUAGCUUUCGAAUAGCCUUUCAUGACUUAGAAAAUUUCAUUCGCCAUCUAGAUUUUAUUAAGAAAGUCUCGAGCCCUUCUUAAAUACACAUUAUAGAGAACAAGCGUAUUCCUAUGUGUAAGUUGGAAAGUGCACAUUGAGUACCUCCGUGUAUUUGAGAACGCAUAUUCCUUACGCUGUCAAGAUCGAAAAGUGGAACUGAUAAAUGCAACUGAUGUUUUGAGAUUGCUUAUACCCUGACAGGAUGCCAUCACAUGCACAGCUAUGAACUCUGCUUCUGUUGAGAAGUAACAAAUGUGGGUGACCUACCUACAGUGAACUCUUGGAAGCAGACCAAGGAGGCGGAAUCUUCUCAAGCAUGAGACUGAUAUAUAAUGUUGUCUUUAUGGUGCUCUUUAGUCUUCAGCCACUAGAUGUUGUGACAUGGAGCCUUGACUAGAACUUGUUCAUAGCAGAUAGUAUAUUAUUUGUCUCUGGUUUGUGUGCUUAGUUGUCAGUUAUCUGGUUAUGGUGCAAACACAUACCUUCUGUAUCAGCUACAGAAGUGCUUUGAACAUCAAUAUUGUUUUAUCUAAAUGAUAGUAGUUUGCUAUAUCUAACAUAGGUAAAUAAAUCAGUGAAUGUAAUUCAGUUUUUUAAGUUAGGGAUACUGUAUAAGGCAAUGGUGUAUCUCCUAUAUAUGUUACGCACAGCAUGUUUCUUGUGUGCCCCAUGGAUAUGUCACUGUGUCAGACCUAGUUAUUUAUAAAAAGAAAAUUGUUUAUAAUGAUCAUCUGUCUCCCAUAUUAAAAAGUCUUAAAAAUGCAUACCAAGUAUAGGUUUGUUUCGAGGAGAGGAAAAGUGUUUCAAGGACUUUUUGCCUCUAUUUUAAAAUGGAUUUUUUCUACCAUUUUUAGAGAGAGGAGGAAAUUAAAAUAUCAUUUGCUUUUAAACAUUUAAAAGAAAUAUACAGCCUUCCUAUCAAGCUGAAAAAGAUAAGUAGAACAAAGAUACUGGAACAUAUGAUAAAAAUUAUAUUUAUUUGAGGUUAAUGUUUUUUAAAUCUUUUGCUAACUUUGUGCUUUAAUAUACGUUAGUGAUCAUAUAUAAUUUGAAUGGAAAAUACAGGAACUAUUUAAAUUUUUGGAAAACUGAAGAAAUAUUUUUCUUGGUUCUGGGUAAAAUUUAGACCAUUAGACUAAGAGAAAGAUUUCAGGGAAAAUGGAGUACAAUAUUUAAAAUUGUUACUGCAGCUUUACUUCUGUAUCCCUUCUUCCCUUUGGACCCUGAUUGAAAUGUAUGGACAUAGAAUUAGAAAUUUUUUUUGCGUUUGACACAGGGAACCUGCUUUGAUUCUGGUGGAUAAUUUCAGUGGUGGUGGGGAACUUUCCUGAAUUUGUCAGUGUGAUUAUUAGUAACUCAAAUGAGGUUCAAAUGCACAAAGCCCCCCUCAAAAGUAAUUCCUCCAGGGGCGCCUGGGUGGCUCAGUUGGUUGUCCCUGACUUUGGCUCAGGUAAUGAUCUCAAGUCCUGGGAUCAAGCCCCGUAUCAGGCCCUCUGCUCAGCGGGGAGUCUGCUUGUCCCUCUCCCUCUCCACUUGCCCGUACUCAUGCUCUCUCUCACACUCUGUCUCUCAAAUAAAAUCUUAAAAAAAAAAAAAAAUUUCUUCAAAUACUCAAAGUGUAGCAAGUAUAUAAGUCAGCAUUGUUUUAACAAUAUUACUCAGUUAAUGAAUUAACACCUUUAUAAACAAAACUGCAGUACAUUUUAAAACAAAAAUACAGCACAAUAAAUUACAGUUGAUCCUUGAACAAUGUGGGUUGGGGCAUCAACCCCCCACAUAGUAAAAAAUCCAUGUGUAACUUCUGACUCCCCUGAAACAAAUACCAACAGCCUACCGUGGACCGGAGGCCUUACUGAUAAUGUAAAGAGGUGACCAGCACAUUUUGUAUGUUAUAUGCAUUAUAUACUAUAUUCUAACAAUUAGAGAAAAAAAUUAAAAUCACAUAAUGAAAACACAUUUACAGUAUUGUACUGCAGAAAAAUCUGCACUAAGAGGCCCUGUGUAGUUUCAACACAUUUUGUUCAGAGGUCAGCUGUAUUUGGUUUGCUAGGUGUCUCUAAGUAAUAAUUUUUAUGCCUAAAGGAUCCUUAACAUAUCUAGUCAUGCUGUAGUUAUUUAAAAAUCUAAACAAGAUUUUAAAGGUUUAUAUUCUUACAUACAGUGGCAUUUACAGUUAACAAAUUAUGAUUUGUUUCCAUUGAUAUCCUUUUAAAAGUUAACUUAUGGUUAAACUUUUCUAUUUCAAGUGAUCUACUUAUUUUGUAUUCAUAUUUAUAAUGUACCCUUUAUUGUUUCUAGGUAUUGAUACACUUUAAUAAAAAUAAUACAUUUACUGUUUUCCCCUAUUAA